UGGGGAAUAUUGCACAAUGGGCGAAAGCCUGAUGCAGCGACGCCGCGUGAGGGAUGACGGCCUUCGGGUUGUAAACCUCUUUCAGCAGGGACGAAGCGCAAGUGACGGUACCUGCAGAAGAAGCACCGGCUAACUACGUGCCAGCAGCCGCGGUAAUACGUAGGGUGCAAGCGUUGUCCGGAAUUACUGGGCGUAAAGAGUUCGUAGGCGGUUUGUCGCGUCGUUUGUGAAAACCAGCAGCUCAACUGCUGGCUUGCAGGCGAUACGGGCAGACUUGAGUACUGCAGGGGAGACUGGAAUUCCUGGUGUAGCGGUGGAAUGCGCAGAUAUCAGGAGGAACACCGGUGGCGGAGGCGGGUCUCUGAGCAGUAACUGAAGCUGAGGAACGAAAGCGUGGGUAGCGAACAGG
rnacentral:rRNA from 1 species